rfam:Ovis aries breed Texel chromosome 12, whole genome shotgun sequence.
UCCCUGGUGGCUCAGAUGUUAAAGAAUCUGCCUGCAAUGCAGGAGACCCAGGUUCAAUCCCUGGGUAGGGAA